CGCCGUAAGCCCAAGGUUUCCUGGGGAAGGAUAAUCCUCCCAUGGGUUAGUCGGUUCCUAAGCUGAGCCCGAAAGGGGUAGGUGAUGGCAAGCAGGUUAAUAUUCCUGCACCACUAUAUGUACGUUGACCUGAGCAGGGACGGAGAAGGGUAGGCUGAGCCAGCCGUUUGGUUGUGCUGGUUCAAGCGCGUAGGCGGUUCCCGUAGGACCCAAUAGGGACAAACGCGGGGGCAACGCCGAGACGUGAUGAGGAGGAGCUCCGGCUCCGUAACUCAGUGAUCCCAUGCUUCCAAGAAAAGCUGCGCAGUGAGUGCAUGUAGUGACCGUACCGCAAACCGACUCAGGUGGGCGGGGUGAAUAUCCCAAGGCGCGUGGGAGAACACUGGCUAAGGAACUCGGCAAAUUGACACCGUAACUUCGGGAGAAGGUGUGCCCCCAUUACGUGAAAGCCCUGCGGCCGUAGCGGAAGGGGGUUGCAGAGAAAUGAGGGUUGCGACUGUUUACCAAAAACACAGGACUCUGCGAACUCGUAAGAGGACGUAUAGGGUCUGACGCCUGCCCGGUGCUGGAAGGUUAAGGGGAGAUGUUAGUCUUCGGGCGAAGCUUCGAACCGAAGCCCCAGUAAACGGCGGCCGUAACUAUAACGGUCCUAAGGUAGCGAAAUUCCUUGUCGGGUAAGUUCCGACCUGCACGAAUGGCGUAACGACAUCCCUACUGUCUCGGCCAGUGACCCAGCGAAAUUGUAUUGGGGGUGAAGAUACCCUCUACCCGCGGCAAGACGGAAAGACCCCGUGAACCUUUACUGCAACUUGGCAGUGAAGCUCGGGACAUUCUGCGUAGGAUAGGUGGGAGACUUUGAAACCGGGGUUCCGGCUUCGGUGGAGUCAACCUUGAAAUACCACCCUGAAUGUUCUGGGCUUCUAACCCAGCACCGUUAUCCGGUGCGGGGACACUGUCUGGUGGGCAGUUUGACUGGGGCGGUCGCCUCCCAAAAAGUAACGGAGGCGCGCGACGGUUCCCUCAGGCUGAUUGGAAACCAGCCGCAGAGUGCAAAGGCAUAAGGGAGCUUGACUGUGAGACCGACAGGUCGAGCAGGUGCGAAAGCAGGUCUUAGUGAUCCGGUGGCUCCGAAUGGAAGGGUCAUCGCUCAACGGAUAAAAGGUACUCCGGGGAUAACAGGCUGAUCGCGCCUGAGAGUUCAUAUCGGCGGCGCGGUUUGGCACCUCGAUGUCGGCUCAUCGCAUCCUGGGGCUGGAGCAGGUCCCAAGGGUUUGGCUGUUCGCCAAUUAAAGCGGUACGCGAGCUGGGUUCAGAACGUCGUGAGACAGUUCGGUCCCUAUCUGCCGUGGGCGCAGGAUACUUGAGAGGAUUUGACCAUAGUACGAGAGGACCUGGUUGAACGUACCUCUAGUGUUCCGGUUGUCCUGCCAAGGGCAUAGCCGGGUAGCUAUGUACGGAACGGAUAACCGCUGAAAGCAUCUAAGCGGGAAGCCGGCCUCAAGAUGAGGUAUCCCGGACCUUCGGGUCCCUAAAGGCCCCUUGUAGACUACGAGGUAAUAGGCAGGGUGUGGAAGUGUGGCAACACAUGGAGCUGACCUGUACUAAUCGGCCGUGCGGCUUGACC
rnacentral:rRNA from 1 species